AAAAGUAGAGAGGAAAAGAGAAAAAGAGAAAAAGCGAGCAGAUUGUACUCACUGCCGUCUUUCUUGAAAUAAUGCGUCCUUAUUUAUACGAGGAGCCACCUUCUUGAAGGUAAUACAAUCGAUUUGGAGUGGGUGGCAAAGCACUGCUGACA